GUGCCAGCCGCCGCGGUAAUACGAAGGGGGCUAGCGUUGCUCGGAAUGACUGGGCGUAAAGGGCGCGUAGGCGGCACAACUAGUCAGGCGUGAAAUUCCUGGGCUUAACCUGGGGGCUGCGUUUGAUACGGUUGGGCUAGAGGAUGGAAGAGGCUCGUGGAAUUCCCAGUGUAGAGGUGAAAUUCGUAGAUAUUGGGAAGAACACCGGUGGCGAAGGCGGCGAGCUGGUCCAUUACUGACGCUGAGGCGCGAAAGCGUGGGGAGCAAACAGGAUUAGAAACCCGCGUAGUCC
rnacentral:rRNA from 1 species